GGUUCUAUAGUGUAGUGGUUAUCACUCGAGAUUCUGAUCCAUGGCUUCCACUUACGUUUGCUUUCUCGUGACCCCGGUUCGAUCCCGGGUAGGACCU